rnacentral:rRNA from 1 species
UACGGAGGGUGCAAGCGUUGUUCGGAAUCACUGGGCGUAAAGGGCGCGUAGGCGGCUCAUGAAGGCUGUGGUGAAAGUCCGGGGCUCAACCUCGGAUCGGCCGUGGCGACUCGUGGGCUGGAGCACUGUAGAGGCGGGUGGAAUUCCGGGUGUAGCGGUGGAAUGCGUAGAGAUCCGGAAGAACACCAGUGGCGAAGGCGGCCCGCUGGGCAGUGGCUGACGCUGAGGCGCGACAGCGUGGGGAGCAAACAGG